CUCUCCGCCCCCUGUGCCAGGAGCCGGGAGCCCGACCCGGAGAGACCAGGGCUCCGCGCUCAGAUGCUACGGCAUAUGCACCAGCAUCAGAGCCCCAGCCCCACCACUUAAGGAAAAGUUUUGUUUCAAACUCCUGUUCAAUCUAAAGGCGCCAUCUCUAAAGCUGCAAAAUAGGAAUCGGGAGAGUCGAGGAAAGCCAGCUGUCGUGGCAGCGUGUUGGACUGUCACAUUGUAGUUUGCUGAGUGAAUCCAUCCCAAAUCCAGCUCGAAAAAGAUCAAGAAAUCAGGCAGAAAGAAAGAGACGGUGUAUUUGAGGAAAGGGCUUAGUGGCCGAUAUCCCCAGGGAGUUAAAAACAAGUAUUUAAGCCACGUGUUGUAAAGGAAAACAGUCACUGCCUUGGGGUUCACUGUCGGAGGACUGGACUAUGUUUCUAACUUUCUAAGGAAUGUGAGAAGGGAAAGGGAUGAGAAGUAUUCUUGAAGGACACCUGCAGAUAAGAGAGAGAGUGAGAGCACAAGCAGGGGAGGGGGCAGAGGGAGAGGAACAAGCAGAAUCCCUGCUGAGCAGGGAUCCCAAUGCAGGGCUCGAUCCCAGAAUCCGAGAUCAUUACCUGAACUGAAGGCAGAGGCUUAACCAACUGAGCCACCCAGCUUCCACACUGAACACUGGAUCUUAAUCGUCUAUACAGCCCCUGUCAUAGUGCCUAAUGCAAAGAGUAAAUAUUUGACAAUAUGAAGAGGACAAAAAUUAUAGGCUGAGUAAAUUAAAAAAUACUCUCGAAUUAUCCAACACACAAGGCAGAAAAAGAAAUGAAGAGGAAAAGUCAUUCUCAGCUGAAUCAUGCAACUAAUUACCCAUA